AGAGAAGAAAUAGGAUUCGGGGAGAAAGGAAUGAUUAAGAUCUGUUAUUUCUCGAAUGAAUUUCUUCUUACAUAACUACUCUUUAUACAGCUAUUCCUCAUAGAAAAUAAUCGUUCCUUCCAAUUGUUUCUUCCUAACAGGCUUCUAACUUCCUAACUACUUCCAGCUGACCUCUACUAACUGGCUUAUUAUUAUUUUAUUACAAUUUCACCUCAAAACCCUUCCUAUUUAUUUCUUUACUCCCCAUAACUACUUCUCCCUAACCCUCGUUCUCCUAAAUGUAACAACUAGCCUCCAACAUUUCCGUUCAUAAUAAUGCCAACCGUAAACCAUUCUUCAAUUUUUU
rnacentral:misc_RNA from 1 species